AGGGGCCUACGGGAGGCAGCAGUGAGGAAUAUUGGUCAAUGGGCGAGAGCCUGAACCAGCCAAGUCGCGUGAGGGAAGACGGUCCUAUGGAUUGUAAACCUCUUUUGCCGGGGAGCAAAAAGCGGUACGUGUACCGCAUCGAGAGUACCCGGAGAAAAAGCAUCGGCUAACUCCGUGCCAGCAGCCGCGGUAAUACGGAGGAUGCGAGCGUUAUCCGGAUUUAUUGGGUUUAAAGGGUGCGCAGGCGGACCAU
rnacentral:rRNA from 1 species